UGUUCGUUUCGUGAACUGGACGCGGCAUCCAGACGCAGACGCGGACCGAUGUUCGUUUGGUGCGAAAUAGGCGGUUAAGUUGGACGCAGCAUCCAAAUAUAUUUUCACAACUCAUCCGGAUUUUUCGGGAAUUCUGGAUGAGAUUUUUAAACGCUUCCAGAAACAGUAAACUCAUCCAAAAGUAAUAAAAAUCGAUAAUACCCUUAAUUUAUCUUAAAAAUUACAAAUUUUGCCUUUGAUUUCUAAACCUAAAAAAUAAAAUUGUUUUGUUGCCGUCGAAAUCAAAUCUGAUUCUCUGCAACCUCUCUUCAACCAUGAAUCCCCUCUAUCAAAGCACUCUGCGAGGAAACAGCACCCUCCAAGCUAAUCACUCUGUUCACAACCUCAUCAACUCUCUCAGCCAUCUCCCUAGCAUUGAGCGAAGAGUUAUUCACACCAGACUCUUCGUCAUCAACAAUCUCUUCCCCUAGAAACCGACUCACCAUCGACCUAAGCCUCUCUCUAGACUCCUCAAUCUUCGCACGCUCCUCUCCAGCUUCUCCGCAAGACUUCUCCUGCCUCUCCCGCAGCUCCGCCAGCUUCUCCCUACACGCAAGACUUCUCCUGCCUCUUGUGUGUUGUGACUAUCUGUUCAAGCUUCAAUGGCAUCUGUCCCUGGAAAGGAUCUGGAGUCCUAGAUGCAGUGUUGCUGUCAGUGUAGGCUACUAAUCUUUUGAGGAUGCACAGGUUCGAAUUGUUGCAGUUCAAGCUCUUACAACAAUAGUUCAAAUUUGCAUUUUUCUUUAAAACACAGACACCGCAAGGUUUGAUGUUUUGAGUAGAGAAGUUAAAAUACUUUAAGUCAUUUGAGUUUGAUGUUAUCAUUGUUGUAAAACAUGAAAAUAGAGUUUAAUGUUUAUUAUUGUUACUUUA